UUGACCAUGCUUUUAAGGAUCAUUUCUUAAGUAUGUGUCGCAACGGUAUCUGAUUCUAUUGAGCGGAUCAACAACAUCACGAUGAUGUGAGAUUGGGUCCUGAACGUGAAACAAGUUUUUCUCUAUCGUUGGUUCCUCGCCUCUAACGAAUGUGAGAAAUCCAAUGAAGAUCGUUCUUGAGCGGUUUAAUAACUUCUUAAGAGGAACUCAAUACUUUCUGU
rnacentral:snoRNA from 1 species